UACGUAGGUGGCGAGCGUUAUCCGGAAUUACUGGGCGUAAAGCGCACGCAGGCGGCUAUGUAAGUCUGACGUGAAAGCUCCUGGCUUAACUGGGAGAGGUCGUUGGAAACUGCGUAGCUUGAGGCAAUGAGAGGGGUGCGGAAUUCCCGGUGUAGUGGUGGAAUGCGUAGAUAUCGGGGGGAACACCAGUGGCGAAAGCGGCACCCUGGCAUUGGCCUGACGCUCAGGUGCGAAAGCGUGGGUAGCAAACAGG
rnacentral:misc_RNA from 1 species